GGCGGGUCGAUCCGGGACGUAAGAGGUCUCCAUUCCCAGACAAUGGCGGAGCAGACACGAUGGGCCAAACAGCCUAAUUCUGCUUCUAUGGGGUGUCACCAAUGUAGAGGAGGCCUCUUUGGAAUUAUGGAUGCAACAGAUGACUCCAAAAGAUUCCCAGGUGAAGAGUCAUCUCGCCUGGAAAGACAGUUUGGGACCCUGAAUGAAGGAGAAGGCUCAGGAGCUUGAAGACUCGUACACCCAGAUUUGGGAACAGCUUCUUUCCAACUGUGAUAAGACUGCUGAACGGAUCCUGACCCGGAUCUGGGCCGCACCCUCCAAAUAUGCGGACCUGCAUCUCGUGUGGAAGGAAAGUAGAGGGACCACGCGCAGUCACGGCGAGAACGUACAAACUCCUUACAGACAGCAGAGGGAAAUGAACCUCAGUCUUACAGCUGGCUACCACUACGCUGCCGUGUUGCCUGUAUUUACUUCCUAUUUUCUCUUAUACCUGAUCAGGGAAUAGUUAUCCUCAAGAUUGUUUAAUGCCAUUUCCAGUACACAAUGUAAAAGAGAAAAUAAUUGUUACUCGGGAUCCGAUACUGCACAAGAAAACACAAUAGGAUCAAAACACAAUAAUAAUAAAAACACAUAAUAAACAUAAAUAUAUAAGAUAGCUUAUAUACAUAAAUUGAUUGUAUGUCUAUAAAGUGAUACUAGGCACAGUAGUGUCUGUACAUAAGGUGACUCUAUCUCUGGCUCUAAAGUAGUGGUGAAGUUGGCAGGUGGAGGUGUUGAUCAGCCUUACUGCUUCGGGAAAGUAAAUGUUUUUGCCACUAUGAGGCCAUGCUCAGGGUGGAGGAGCAGCACUUCAUAUUCCAUCUCGGUCGCCUCCAAAUUGAUGGCAUGAAUAUCGAUUUCUCUUUCCAGUAAUUUUCUACUUCUCCCUUUUCCCUCUUCUUCAGUUCCCCACUCUGGUCUCUUACCACUUCUCCUCACCUGCCUAUCACCUCCCCCUGGUGCCCCCCCUUCAAUUUCUCCCUUGGUCCACUAUCCUCUCCCAGCAGAUUCCUUCUUCUCCAGCCCUUUACCUUUUCCAUCUAUCCAGCUUCCUACUUCAACUGCUUCCUCACCCAUCUGGUUUCACCUAUCACCUAGCUUGUCCUCCUUCCCCUUCCCCCAUCUUCUUAUUCUUGUUGAGUUCCUCCAGCAUUUUGUAUUUGUUGCUUCGGAUAUCCAGCAUCUGUAGACCUUUCUCGUGUUUUUAACUGAUUUUGAGUCUGGUGGUCCUGGCAUAGAUGCGACGUAGCAUCCUCCCUGAUUGCGGAGGUCCAUGAGCAGGGUGGGUGGGAUCCCUCAUGAUGUUACUGGCACUUUUCCUCCACCUUUCUGUUUAUACGUCCUUGAUGGCGGGUAGGCUGGUGCUGGUGAUAUGUUGGGUUGUUCUGACUACCUGUUGUAGAGCCUUUCUGUUCAGUGCAGGACAGUUUCCAAACCCUGCAGUGAUACGGCUUGCACCUACUCUCUACUGUGCACCUGGAGAAGGACAUGAGUCUCGAUGUGCAGUCCAGCUGUCUUCAGCCUCCUCAGAAAGUAAAAGCCACAUCCACUCGAUUCUACAGAGGCGUGGUUGAGAGUGUGCUGACCUUUUGCAUCACAACCUGGUACUCCAGCAGCAGUGCUGUCGACAAAAAAGCCUUGCAGAGGGUGGUUAGGGGAGCAGAGAAGGUUAUUGGGGUCUCCCUACCUUCUGUCCAAGACCUCUUUCAGAGUCAAUGCCUCCAGAAGACACGGUACAUCAUUAAAGACCCCUCACACCCUCUCCAUGAACUGUUUGUUCUUCUGCCAUCAGGCAAACGUUACAGGAGCAUCAAAACUAAAACCACAAGGCUACUAAACAGCUUCCUCCCACAGGCAGUCAGACUGCUAAAUAGCUGCUCCACCUGACUCUGCUUUGGACACUUUUAACUUGCACUGAUCACUUAUAACUGAUUUUAACUGA